rnacentral:rRNA from 1 species
GUACACGCUGUGACUAGCAUAUCAAUAAGCGGAGGAAAAGAAACUAACAAGGAUUCCCCUAGUAACGGCGAGUGAAGCGGGAAGAGCUCAAAUUUGAAAUCUUAAAGGGUUUCCCUUUACGAAUUGUAGUUUAAAGAAGUGUUUUCUGUUGAGGUUUUGGUAAAAGUUCUUUGGAAUAGGACAUCAUAGAGGGUGAGAAUCCCGUAUUUGACCUUUACUUUCAACUUUGUGAUACACUUUCAAAGAGUCGGAUUGUUUGGGAAUGCAGUCCAAAAUGGGUGGUAAAUUUCAUCUAAAGCUAAAUAUUGGCGAGAGACCGAUAGCGAACAAGUACCGUGAGGGAAAGAUGAAAAGAACUUUGAAAAGAGAGUUAAACAGUACGUGAAAUUGUCAAAAGGGAAGCGUUUGACACCAGUGUUGUUUUUCUGAAAAUCAAUUAAAGAACUGUUUAUGCUAAGUUGUUUAGACUUUAUCAGCUAACUGUUUAGUUUUGAGCUUUUCUUUAAUGCACUUUUCAGUUAACAAGUCAACAUCAAUUUCUUUUGCUGUAAAAAAGCUUGAGGAAGGUGGCUUGAGAUUCGUCUUAAGUGUUUAUAGCCUCUUGCCUAUGCAGUCGGAGAGAUUGAGGUCUGCAGCGUAGAUCCUUCGGGGCUAAAUGCAUUUGUGCUAAGUUAUAGCAUUUUAUAGACAACUUGUUGACUAUGAUUUGUCUUGUAGCUUACUCGCUUAUGUUAUUUUACCUACGCUUAGGAUGUUGACGAGACUGUCGAUCUC